UAUAAAAACAGUAAACUAGCGACAAUUUUUCAGAUUCCGUUCGUACCAGAAGUGCAGUAAGAAAAAUGAAGUUACUGGCAGUGAUUUUAGUUUUUGGGUUAAUCGUCAGCGCAUGCUAUGGUUACUACGUGUAUCCAAGGUUGCGCGUUCGUACUGAGACCGACAUGGAGAAAGCUGAAAUCUUUAAAUCUUUGUCUCAUUUCUUUGACGAGCUGAGCGUAGAUGCCUCUGCUAAUAAUGGUAUAGCAUCUGGAAGACCGGCAGCAGCAAGAACUUAACAACGCCAAUUUUGUGUAUUUUAAUUUAUUUUAAGGUUUAUUAAACACAGUAAAAAGUUUGUCAACAAUUUACUUAAUGUGUUGUUUUCAUGUUGUGACAACUAAUAAUGAUAAAACUGUAA